UGAUAAAUUUCACAAGUACAUAAAAGUUCCUCGUGAAUGAACUCCUGCUGGAACCAAGCCGCCCUCGAGGUUGUUGAAGAGGCAUGCACUGAACUCCUUAUAAAUAUUCUGUGCAAAUACCUAUACGACCUAUCUGAAAUGUUCACAAGGUGGUAGGAUCAAAGUAGGAGCUGAGCCGUGUGCUGCUCUGUGAAGCGACCGUGAUCGUCAUGCGACAGAUGUUCCAACUGUUGGGGAUCACACCGGUUUACAAGCUGUGGUUGACCAUUGUUUGAUCCUUACAUCAUACAUCCUCCCAAACUACUCGUCAUGAAACACAUGACGCCAGUCUGGACGCCACCGCUUCGUCCAUGCCAGGCACGAUUCAAGUGGCACUGCUAUCUCCCUUCUUUGGACUCAACCUUACAGUAAGAUGAGAGAUUGAUUCCCCGCAUCCAUGUGUAUGAACACCUAUAACUUGACUGACAAAUUGUCUCAUCGGAUUGUAGAUUGAAAUUUGUUACGCAAUGGGUUUUGAUUCAGGAAAGAUUAGUUAGAAAUCAGCACUGGCACCUUCAAGAUGUAUGCAAGUAGUUUGCAUGGUUGAUCCAAGUCGUUGAGUGCUGCAAGUAGUGCUUAAUAACCUUUUCCAUUCUAAAAAACUACUGCCUUUUCUAAGCAUUAGAUUUAGUCUGUUUAUGUAAUUUUUAUGGUGACUUGAUAAUGACGUUAGAAAUAUAUUGAAGGAGUGUCUAGGAGGAAC